CAGAGUAGGGGACAGUGCGUUAAGUUCCGUAAGACGGGAAGUUGCUUACGGCCGAAAAGCCUUAGGGCUUGCGGUACUGUUUCCGCAUUCCGCUGC
rnacentral:ncRNA from 1 species